rnacentral:rRNA from 1 species
CGGCGGACGGGUGAGUAACGCGUGGGUAACCUGCCUCAUACAGGGGGAUAACAGUUAGAAAUGACUGCUAAUACCGCAUAAGACCACAGCACCGCAUGGUGCGGGGGUAAAAACUCCGGUGGUAUGAGAUGGACCCGCGUCUGAUUAGCUAGUUGGUAAGGUAACGGCUUACCAAGGCGACGAUCAGUAGCCGACCUGAGAGGGUGACCGGCCACAUUGGGACUGAGACACGGCCCAA